AGCGAACGCUGGCGGCAGGCCUAACACAUGCAAGUCGAACGAACCUUUCGGGGUUAGUGGCGGACGGGUGAGUAACACGUGGGAACGUGCCUUUAGGUUCGGAAUAACUCAGGGAAACUUGUGCUCAUACCGAAUGUGCCCUUCGGGGGAAAGAUUAAUCGCCUUUAGAGCGGCCGGCGUCUGAUUAGCUAGUUGGUUGAGGUAAUGGCUCACCAAGGCGACGAUCAGUAGCUGUUCUGAGAGGAUGAUCAGCCACAUUGGGACUGAGACACGGCCCACACUCCGACGGGGGGCAGCAGUGGGGAAUCUUGCGCAAUGGGCGAAAGCCUGACGCAGCCAUGCCGCGGGAAUGAUGAAGGGCUUAGGAUUGUAAAAUUCUUUCACCGGGGACGAUAAUGACGGUACCCGGAGAAGAAGCCCCGGCUAACUUCGUG
rnacentral:rRNA from 1 species